AGACCUUCAAUCCAGCCUCCAUGUUUGUUGGCGUCUUAUGAAGAUCCCUCGCAAAUACUCAUGAACAUAAUCGACCCUCCAUCCUCACCGGUGUCCUCUCUGACAAAUUCAGAGGAAAGCACAGAGAACACUUUGGAAGACGCCAGCACAUCGGCCUCAAGCUCUGCCUCACCAGCUGGAAGAGGAAGCUGGAAGCUUCAGGCAUCAGGUCCACUUUCCCCCCGAUCCCCCAAAAAAAGAAACUCUCUAUGCAGGACUUCCUUCAAGCUGAGGC